rnacentral:lncRNA from 1 species
AUGAAAUCCUUCCCGGGAUGGUUGGAGGCAGCGCCUGCUCCCAGCACCGCUCAGGGAAGCCUUAAUGAAAAGCAGCUCAUCAGCAGUUACGUAACCUAAUGAUAAUCCAGCUCAGGCCGGGCAAUGCUUAAAGCCACAGCGUCUCUCUGCUGUGACCUAUUUUAUGCUCGAUGCAAGGGCAAAAGUAUGCAGUGUGUAACUUCGCCGGGUCUCUUACGUCGAGUCGUUGCCUGUCGUAGGGUAAAUACACCGUUCCUCAUCACGCCGGACAAGUUAAUGACACAGCUGGUUGCAGAAAGGAGCUUGUAACGUUGCGCCGAGCUGAAGAAACACCGCCUGUUAUGUGUAGCACGGAAGAGGAAUGAGGAUCCACUGCAUGAUUCCAUCAGUCUACAAUUCUAUGAUUCAACAUUUUUCUUUGCUUUGGUUGCUUUUCUUCCCCAUUUAUGCAUAUGGAACAACUUUCCCUGUUGGUCAGCUGCUGUGGCUGCAGAUAGGAGCAAGAAGGGAGCUGGAGCAGAGCAAGGGCAGGGAAAAUUGGUCCAAUUCAGUGACAGUUCCAGCCUCAAACACGGGUAGCUCUGUGUGUCUCCUGCUAUCAGUCUGUGCUACUCCUGCAGCAAGCUGGAUCCAUGACAUUGCCAGUGCUUUGGGGUGCUGGCAUCCGGGCUCUGAGCUCAUGAGGGUCCUAUGUGAGGUUAGAGAAUCACACUAUCAUGAAAUUAUGGAAUCAUUAGGGGUUAGGAGGGACCUCUGGAGAUCAUCAACCCCCUGCUAAAGCAGGUUCUCUGCAGUCAGUACAAAUGGCAAUAACCUGACUUGGAGAGGUUGCCUGUGCUCUGGCUGGCUGAAAAUUACUACGAAGAAGAUUUACAGUGGAGCACUGUCGUUGGAGUGACCAGAGAUGUGAAAGGAGAAUCAACAUGCCCAUUAAAACUGAAUGAAUGUAAAAUCCCACAGCAGAGUGGAAACUGAAACUGGGAAUGGGAAGUGCUCAGAUUGUGUCUCUGUCCUUUUGGUAUACGGGAUCCUCCCCGAGCAAGCAGCAACCUGUCGUUUCAGCAAUGCAAGGCUUCCCCUCAGUGGCAACAAGGCAGCAGGGUGUCCUGCUGCUACACCACAAUAAAAGCAUUUUGCUUUUUUUUUUUUUUUUUCUUCAAAGGCAAAGUCCAGUAAAAAUGUGGCUCUGAAGUAAAGGAAAUAUUUACAGCAGAGGCUGCUGGCUGGGCUGGGUGUAAUGGUAUACAGCAAUACAAGAGGCCAAAGUGAUACUACUUUAUGAGCCAAGAGUUUUUAACUCUUUUGGUAUAGGAGACAGCUGCCUACACGAGGCACUUAGGGAACAAAUGAAACUUGAGCGGUGUCAUACUGGGAUCAUAGAAUAUGGACAAAAGCAACAGAAAGGAGUAUAUUUUUUUACAAGAAAAGGAUUAACUGGAGAACAGUGGUUGCAGUGCUAAAGCUCCUACCCAAGUGCAGCUGGCGAGAUUGCUGACAGCGCAGGGGGCUCUCCCAGAAAUGAGUUCUUCCUGCAAAAAUACCCAUCCCCAUCAACAUCUAUUAUCUAAAAGGUGAUGUCCAGGUUGAUUUAAUUUCCAGUCCUGGAAAUGAAAUGGGACCAUGGUAUUAGGAGACAUGUGAGCUCAGAUUAUGCAUACAAAAAAGACGACAGCCAAAUUGUCUAUGUACGGGCAGACUGCAUUUGCCUUACCCCAAAAGAUUUACCAGUUGCUAUGGUUACUCAAUAUUACAGCUCAAUAGAUUGGUAAUGUGAACUGAUAGAUCUAGAAAUACACUGCAAGAUGGAAUUAAAGAGGUCCUGCUGAAACACAGCCUGAAAAAUCCUGUGCUCCUGAUGAGGCGGAAACACUUUGCUGCUGACGGGCUGGUCAUGGUUCCCAGAUGCGUGGCAGGGGUCCCACCAAAUAGCAGUGAGAUGUGUGCUUGGUGUCUUGUGCAGCCAGAGGUGUAAAACACACGUCAAAGGGAUAAUAAAACACAGUCCAAACUGUCUCACAUGGAAUCUCUUGAGUAAAUCAUGGCCGAGUCUCAGCAAGUACAGG